rnacentral:rRNA from 1 species
ACGAACGCUGGCGGCACGCUUAACACAUGCAAGUCGAACGAGAGAAGAGAAGCUUGCUUUUCUGAUCUAGUGGCGGACGGGUGAGUAACACGUGAGCAAUCUGCCUUUCAGAGGGGGAUACCGAUUGGAAACGAUCGUUAAUACCGCAUAACAUAAUUGAACCGCAUGAUUUGAUUAUCAAAGAUUUAUCGCUGAAAGAUGAGCUCGCGUCUGAUUAGCUAGUUGGUAAGGUAACGGCUUACCAAGGCGACGAUCAGUAGCCGGACUGAGAGGUUGAUCGGCCACAUUGGGACUGAGACACGGCCCAGACUCCUACGGGAGGCAGCAGUGGGGAAUAUUGCACAAUGGAGGAAACUCUGAUGCAGCGAUGCCGCGUGAGGGAAGAAGGUUUUAGAAUUGUAAACCUCUGUCUUCAGGGACGAAAAAUGACGGUACCUGAGGAGGAAGCUCCGGCUAACUACGUGCCAGCAGCCGCGGUAAUACGUAGGGAGCGAGCGUUGUCCGGAAUUACUGGGUGUAAAGGGAGCGUAGGCGGGAUCGCAAGUCAGAUGUGAAAACUAUGGGCUUAACCCAUAAACUGCAUUUGAAACUGUGGUUCUUGAGUGAAGUAGAGGUAAGCGGAAUUCCUAGUGUAGCGGUGAAAUGCGUAGAUAUUAGGAGGAACAUCAGUGGCGAAGGCGGCUUACUGGGCUUUAACUGACGCUGAGGCUCGAAAGCGUGGGGAGCAAACAGGAUUAGAUACCCUGGUAGUCCACACCGUAAACGAUGGAUACUAGGUGUAGGUUGUGAUAAACAAUCUGUGCCGUCGCAAACGCAAUAAGUAUCCCACCUGGGGAGUACGGCCGCAAGGUUGAAACUCAAAGGAAUUGACGGGGGCCCGCACAAGCAGUGGAGUAUGUGGAUUAAUUCGAAGCAACGCGAAGAACCUUACCAGGUCUUGACAUCGUAUGCAUAGCUCAGAGAUGAGUGAAAUCUCUUCGGAGACAUAUAGACAGGUGGUGCAUGGUUGUCGUCAGCUCGUGUCGUGAGAUGUUGGGUUAAGUCCCGCAACGAGCGCAACCCUUACUGUUAGUUGCUACGCAAGAGCACUCUAGCAGGACUGCCGUUGACAAAACGGAGGAAGGUGGGGAUGACGUCAAAUCAUCAUGCCCCUUAUGACCUGGGCCUCACACGUACUACAAUGGCUGUCAACAGAGGGAAGCAAAGCCGCGAGGUGGAGCAAACCCCUAAAAGCAGUCUUAGUUCGGAUUGUAGGCUGCAACCCGCCUACAUGAAGUCGGAAUUGCUAGUAAUCGCAGAUCAGCAUGCUGCGGUGAAUACGUUCCCGGGCCUUGUACACACCGCCCGUCACGCCAUGGGAGUCGGUAACACCCGAAGCCUGUAGUCUAACCGCAAGGAGGACGCAGUCGAAGGUGGGAUUGAUGACUGGGGUG